GGGUUGUGAGGUUAAGCGACUAAGCGUACACGGUGGAUGCCCUGGCAGUCAGAGGCGAUGAAGGACGUGCUAAUCUGCGAUAAGCGCCGGUAAGGUGAUAUGAACCGUUAUAACCGGCGAUUUCCGAAUGGGGAAACCCAGUGUGACUCGUCACACUAUCAUUAACUGAAUCCAUAGGUUAAUGAGGCGAACCGGGGGAACUGAAACAUCUAAGUACCCCGAGGAAAAGAAAUCAACCGAGAUUCCCCCAGUAGCGGCGAGCGAACGGGGAGGAGCCCAGAGCCUGAAUCAGCAUGUGUGUUAGUGGAAGCGUCUGGAAAGGCGCGCGAUACAGGGUGACAGCCCCGUACACAAAAGCGCAUGUGCUGUGAGCUCGAUGAGUAGGGCGGGACACGUGGUAUCCUGUCUGAAUAUGGGGGGACCAUCCUCCAAGGCUAAAUACUCCUGACUGACCGAUAGUGAACCAGUACCGUGAGGGAAAGGCGAAAAGAACCCCGGCGAGGGGAGUGAAAAAGAACCUGAAACCGUGUACGUACAAGCAGUGGGAGCACAGGUUUACCUGUGUGACU
rnacentral:rRNA from 1 species